UAUGACUGUAGAAUAAAGCCAUUCUUGGCAAAAACAGCAGAUAGCCUUUGUCUUGGUUUGUACAGUUGCAGUUAAUGCUGACAAAUUAGGGCUGAGGUUUCGAAAGAAUUUAGUCACAUAGCCACCAGAUACUCUUAAAUGCAUCAUCAGGGGUUGCUGGUCAAAUAGUCACAAAGCGGUGCCAAAUUUUGAAAGUCAUUAUCCGAAUGAUGCAGUCGGCAGUAAUCAGAAAGGGGCGGAUUUGACAGAUGGAGCGCAGUUUCUUUCUUCUCCCAAUCAACCUUCACGCUGCUGGUGGUGUGAGUGACGCAGCUCGCAGUUGCUCUCGCGGUCUGCUGCUGUAGUAAAGCGCAGGCUCUGUUGUCAAGCUACUUGCUUCGUCUUCACGGAAAACAUCGACUAACGUUCCGUUCAUUUCAUGUAUUCAUCCUUGUCGAUGUAUUCACGCGCACUUUCAAAGUCGGUCAUAGAGAAAGAAAGCAUGACCGCUAAUACCCUGUGGUUUAUUUCCCUCUUAAAUUCACGAAUGAUGAAAAAUAAACCUCGCUCGCUUUGUGAUACACGCACCAGAAAAGCAGAUACUCCAGCAGAAGAUACAUGUUCAUUUUAGCGUUAAAUCAACCACAGUUUUAGCGUUGAAAGGUAUGUUUUUUAAGCAACUAAAUAUUGUAUGUAAGCACAUACGUUCGCCUGAGACGAUCAAUAGUGUGAGGGCGAUAUGGUAACGAUCGUUAUUUCAAACACCGACUGGCAGAGCUACAGUUAAACCGUGCUCUGUUGGCCGUGUAAGGAUUUUGUGCGUGGGUUCUGGGUUGCUAGCCGGUUUGAGGGUGCAUUUUGUCUCGACCAAUCCUGCGCGGUGCUCUAGGUCCCGGCAUGCCCAAUGCGGGCAGGGGGAGGCUCCGGCCAAUUUGAAUGAAGACUGGAGCUUUCGGCGCCAUUUUCGAGUGAGCAGCUACAGCAACAACAGCUGCCUAGAGAGGCUCCGCACUCUAGUCCAGUAAUUUCAGUGAGGGGACACUUUUUCUUUUUGUUUCCAGAAAACAAAGAGAGGUUUUUUUUUUUUUUUUUUCUGAAUUCGACCACAAAUUUGAGACGACUGUUUCCCGGUGGAUAAAUGCGACGGACACAAAAGACGCUGUGUAGUGACAACAAAUAGUGAAGUGAAGACUGAAGUGAGCUAGGAAGCUAAUCCGGCUAGCAUCUCCAGCCGAGAAGGGGCGUCCGACUGGAGCCGCGCUGUGGAAACGAUAUAAUUUUGUAUUAUUUUUUCGAAAAAUCUAACAAAUACGCGGAUGUCUUGAAAAUUCUAUAAAAAAUUCGGAAAAUUCUCGCAGGCGACGACGAAUAGAUUGGUGUGGGUAGUUUGGUGGAGCGAGGUGGUUUUGUGCAUUUUUUAAACGUUAAGUUUGAGCGGGAUUGGUGAUGUGAGCGAGACGGCCGGCGAGCCCGACAGCCUAUCAGCGAGCGAUACACCGGGAUGCCACACCGACCAACACUGUCCUAUUCUUUACUACAGUUUUCCUUCCUCUUUCAGUAGGAAAACAACGAUGACCAGAGUGCCUUUUUAUUUUUUCCGUUUUUUUGCACGAACUGUUUGUAAUGAGUGCGCCGUCAGAAUUUUUAACUGAAAACUUUUUUUGUGGAUUUACAAAUAUGUUCAGGUGUUUUAGAAUUUGCCUGCAUGGUUGUGACAUCAGAAUCUAGAAAACAAUUCAAGAUAGAGUCCUGGAAUGCCUCAAUCCCUGCUGAGAGAAAGAGAGAGAGGGAGGAGAGGAGUCGCUCGCUCUGAGAUUCUGGCAGUGCUUGGUCAUGUUGCCGAGGGUGUGAGUGUGUGAUUGAGAGAGA